GAUGAACGCUGGCGGCGUGCCUAAUACAUGCAAGUCGAGCGAACGGACGAGAAGCUUGCUUCUCUGAUGUUAGCGGCGGACGGGUGAGUAACACGUGGAUAACCUACCUAUAAGACUGGGAUAACUUCGGGAAACCGGCGCUAAUACCGGAUAAUAUUUUGAUCCGCAUGGUUCAAAAGUGAAAGACGGUCUUGCUGUCACUUAUAGAUGGAUCCGCGCUGCAUUAGCUAGUUGGUAAGGUAACGGCUUACCAAGGCAACGAUGCAUAGCCGACCUGAGAGGGUGAUCGGCCACACUGGAACUGAGACACGGUCCAGACUCCUACGGGAGGCAGCAGUAGGGAAUCUUCCGCAAUGGGCGAAAGCCUGACGGAGCAACGCCGCGUGAGUGAUGAAGGUCUUCGGAGCGUAAAACCCUGUUAUUAGGGAAGAACAGAUGUGUAAGUAACUGUGCACAUAUUGACGGUACCUAAUCAGAAAGCCACGGCUAACUACGUG
rnacentral:rRNA from 1 species